UACAGAGGGUGCGAGCGUUAAUCGGAGUUACUGGGCGUAAAGGGCGCGUAGGCGGUUGUGUGAGUGUGAUGUGAAAGCCCUGGGCUUAACCUAGGAAGUGCAUCGCAAACGACAUAACUGGAGUAUAAGAGAGGGUGGCGGAAUUUCCGGUGUAGCGGUGAAAUGCGUAGAGAUCGGAAGGAACGUCAAUGGCGAAGGCAGCCACCUGGCUUAAUACUGACGCUGAGGCGCGAAAGCGUGGGGAGCGAACAGG
rnacentral:rRNA from 1 species